rnacentral:lncRNA from 1 species
CAGAAAGAGACAGAAGCAGAGAGGGAGAGAGGCAGCCCGGGGUAGGGCUCAGCCCCUCAUCCUCCUCCAAAUGCAGAGGUCACUGCCAACAGGGAGCCUGCCUGCCCUGGGCUGCAGGCAACAGGGUAGGAUUGGGAGCUGGUGCUGAGCCUGGGGUGGAGUCAGGUCGCCCAGGUCUGCCUGCACCCAUUAUGGGACUCUGUCCUUCCCCUCCACUCACAUUUCCUGUGCACCACCCUUGUGCCAGCCCUGUGCUGGUAUUUUCUCAUUUCAGGAGGCCGGCCCUCUGCUCUGCAGUGCAAUAGGACCCCGUGGGGACACUGCUGUGCAGUACAAUAGGACCCCUUGGGGACACUGCUGUUCAGUGCAAUAGGACCCCGAGGCGACACUGCUGUGCAGUGCAAUAGGACCCUGUGGGGACACUGUCAGGAACUCCUAGCUUUUGCAGGACUAGUUCUUUGGAUGAGAGCAGAGCAGAGCAGAGCUGGGAAGAUCCAGGUGGUCUGGGGAGAGAGCAUUUCCAGGUAACCCCAUGCGACAGGGAGUGGAGCUGAGGAAGGGUCACUCUCCCAGGCAGGAGUAAAGUAGCAGGACUGGGAGAAAGUGGACAGGGAACCCCAGGCCUCCGAGAUGCGUCUGGGAAGCACCAGCUGGUGGUAUUAGUGAUGGCUGUGAUAUAUGCACACUGCUGCUAUUGCUGGGAGGGUAUGAACCCUAGGCCUGGUGUGGAUACCAGAACUUCCAGAAAGGUUUACCAGCUUCUGCUAUCCAUACCUCCAAGUGUUCCUCCACCUAACAGAGUGAUCUUCCUGAGGUAGGAAGAUCGGCUUGAGCCCAGGAGUUCCAGGCUGCGGUGAACUAUGAUCGCACCUGUGAAUAGCCACUGCACUCCAGCCUGGGUGACAGAGCAAGACCCCA